rnacentral:rRNA from 1 species
UACGUAGGGGGCAAGCGUUGCCCGGAAUUAUUGGGCGUAAAGAGCUCGUAGGCGGUCUGUCGAGUCGAAUGUGAAAACCCGGGGCUCAACCCCGGGCCUGCAUUCGAUACGGGCAGACUAGAGUGAUGUAGGGGAGACUGGAAUUCCUGGUGUAGCGGUGAAAUGCGCAGAUAUCAGGAGGAACACCGAUGGCGAAGGCAGGUCUCUGGGCAUUAACUGACGCUGAGGAGCGAAAGCAUGGGGAGCGAACAGG